CCUACGGGAGGCAGCAGUGAGGAAUAUUGGUCAAUGGCCGCAAGGCUGAACCAGCCAAGUCGCGUGAAGGAUGACGGCCCUACGGGUUGUAAACUUCUUUUAUAGGGGAAUAAAGGUAUCCACGUGUGGCUCUUUGCAUGUACCCUAUGAAUAAGGAUCGGCUAACUCCGUGCCAGCAGCCGCGGUAAUACGGAGGAUGCGCGCGUUAUCCGGAUUUAUUGGGUUUAAAGGGUGCGUAGGUUGGUUGUUAAGUCAGUUGUGAAAGUUUGUGGCUCAACCCUAAAAUUGCCGUUGAAACUGGAGGACUUGAGUGUAUUUGAGGUAGGCGGAAUGCGUGGUGUAGCGGUGAAAUGCAUAGAUAUCACGCAGAACUCCGAUUGCGAAGGCAGCUUACUAGGCUAUAACUGACGUUGAGGCUCGAAAGCGUGGGGAUCAAACAGGAUUAGAUACCCGUGUAGUC
rnacentral:rRNA from 1 species